AGGGUGGCGGGUGUUGCUGGAGCCUAUCUCAGCUGCAUUUGGGAGGAAGGCGGACUACACCCAGGACAAGUCGCUACUUCAUCACAGGGCCAACACAGAUAUUGAUGUCAACAAUGAAGGCUUUCAUUGGUGGCAAAAAGAAGAAGAAAUGUAACUUAAUGCUCCCGCGUCAAUGCAGCGUCCUUCGGCUGCUGUGGCUGAGAGUUAAUGAGGUAAGAUGACCCAGCUUCAUGUUGUUGGCCUGCCCCUCUCCCUUUUAUUUACGGCCUCCCUGCCAGCAGAGAGGCCGACUGAGGCUCAAAGACAAGAACAGACCUCCUUCAAAGCAGGCAGCUGUAGCCUGCGGGCUGGUUCUAUCCAUCCAUCCAUCCUUCCAUUUUUUACUGCUUGUCCCUUUCCGGGUCCCGGGGGUGCUGGAGCCUAUCCCAGCUGCAUUCGGGCGGUAGGUCAUGAGUUCAAACCGAGCAAAGACUAUAAAAAUGGGACACAUUACAUCCCUACUUGGCACUCCGCAUUAAGGGUUGGAAUUGGGGGUUAAAUCACCAAAAUUAUUCCCGAGCACGGCCACCGAUGCUACUCACUGCUCCCCUCACCUCCCAGGGUGUGGAACGAGGGGAUGGGUCAAACGCAGGGGGUAAUUUCACCACACCUAGUGUGUGUGAGACUAUCGGUGGUACUUUAACUUUAAGAGACUUCCUUUUAUUGUCACUCAAAUUUGAACAUUACAGUACAGAUAAGAACGAACUUUUGUUGUAUUAGCUUGUUGUAGUGCAGGAUAAAAGAGCAAUGAGCUGCAGAUAUAAAUAAAUAGAUUACUGUACAGAUAAACAUAUUGCACUUUUUCAUGGAUGUAUGUUAUAUUGUCUUUAUAUCCCAGCGAGUUAAUCAGUUUUUUGGGGGGAGUUGAGGGGAUUACUUUGAUGCGUUCAAGAGUGUGAUGGCCUGAGGGAAAACGCUGUUACAGAACCUGGAAGUUCUGCUUCGGAGGCUGCGGAACCUCUUUCUAGACUCCAGCAGUGAAAACAGUCCUUGGUGGGGGUGGGAGGAGUCUACAGAUUUUCUGAGCCCUGAUCAGGCAGCGUUUUUUUGAGAUUUCCUGGAUAGGAGGAAGAUUUAACAUUCACACACUAGGUUCUAAUUAGGGCUGUACGGUAUACCGCUUUUAGUAUAGUACCGCGAUACUAAUGAAUCAUUUUCGGUACUAUAGUGCCUCUGAAACAUAUCGGUGCCGCACCCUACCCACGCCCGCAUUGUCGUCAUGUCAUAACAUUGCUGGUUUACGAAAAGAUGGGCAUGUUCGGCAGCACACAAUCACAGAGUACUUACAAGUAGACAGAAAAAGGAGAACGGACGCAUUUUGGCUUAAAAACUAACGAUAAAGGUGAAGUUAUAACACUGAAGCACCUUCAGGAAGAGGUGCUUUAAUACAUGGCUUAAGUCCAGCCGCUGUCGACAGUGUUGUAGCUACUUCCAAAUCACUAAUCCUCGCCUCCAUGGUGACAAAUAAAGUGUGUUUCUUACAAGUAUCAUCCCUGCAGGAUGAAGAAUAGCUAUACAUGCUUCACUACACACCGUAGCUCACCGGCGUCAGAAUUUAUCAAACGCCAUGGGUGGAUCUACACCUGACAUCCACUGUAGUGAUAUCAAGUACAAGAGCGUAUUUAGUCGUUACCACUAUAAUUACGUCGAUUUUAUUUUGGCAUCACAACAUCUUUCGUUUUUUUUUUUAAUGUAUUUUAUGUUUAUAAAUUUAGGAAAUAUGUCCCUGGACACAUAAGGACUUUGAAUAUGACCAAUGUAUGAUCCUGUAACGACUUGGUAUCGGAUCAAUAUCCAAAUUUGUGAUAUCAUCCAAAACUAAUGUAAAGUAUCAAAUAACAGAAGAAUAAGUGAUUAUUACAUUUUACCAGAAGUGUAGAUAGAAUGUGUUAAAAGAGAAAGUAAGCAGAUAUUAACAGUAAAUGAACAAGUUGAUUAAAAAUUCAUUUUCUGCCACUUGUCCUUAAUAAUUUUGACAAAAUAAUAGAAUGAUAAAUGACACGAAAUGUUACUGCAUAUGUCAGCAGCUAAACGAGGAGCCUUUGUUUGUUUACUUACUAAUAAAUGACA